rnacentral:rRNA from 1 species
UACGUAGGGUGCAAGCGUUAAUCGGAAUUACUGGGCGUAAAGGGCGCGUAGGCGGCCUUCUAAGUCGAACGUGAAAUCCCUGGGCUCAACCCAGGAACUGCGUCCGAUACUGGAAGGCUUGAAUCCGGGAGAGGGAUGCGGAAUUCCAGGUGUAGCGGUGAAAUGCGUAGAUAUCUGGAGGAACACCGGUGGCGAAGGCGGCAUCCUGGACCGACACUGACGCUGAGGCGCGAAAGCUAGGGUAGCAAACGGG